rnacentral:rRNA from 1 species
GUACACUCCUACGGGAGGCAGCAGUGGGGAAUUUUGGACAAUGGGCGAAAGCCUGAUCCAGCAAUGCCGCGUGAGUGAAGAAGGCCUUCGGGUUGUAAAGCUCUUUUGUCAGGGAAGAAACGGUGAGAGCUAAUAUCUUUUGCUAAUGACGGUACCUGAAGAAUAAGCACCGGCUAACUACGUGCCAGCAGCCGCGGUAAUACGUAGGGUGCAAGCGUUAAUCGGAAUUACUGGGCGUAAAGCGUGCGCAGGCGGUUUUGUAAGUCUGAUGUGAAAUCCCCGGGCUCAACCUGGGAAUUGCAUUGGAGACUGCAAGGCUAGAAUCUGGCAGAGGGGGGUAGAAUUCCACGUGUAGCAGUGAAAUGCGUAGAUAUGUGGAGGAACACCGAUGGCGAAAGCAGCCCCCUGGGUCAAGAUUGACGCUCAUGCACGAAAGCGUGGGGAGCAAACAGGAUUAGAAACCCGAGUAGUCCCAUGAU